AAGAUGCUGCAGCCCAAAGCCUGACACAUUGAAUACUUCGGCCAGUUGGAAGUCAGACACCUGUGUCCCGCACAGCAAUGAAGGCAGCUGCUGACACCAUCAGGGCCACAGUUUUGGCCGGAUUCCCUCAGCCUCAGGCCCAGGACUGUCGUGUGUAACUGAAGAGACACAGUGAGUCCCCUGAAGCAGAAGAGUUCAGAGCACCUCUCUCCUUGGGGCCGCCUUCUUAGGAGCAGAGAAGUGGACCAGUAGUCUCGUGGGAGUUGCAGCUUUACCGGUUGGCCAUCCAACACUUGACUUUGGGAUUGAUUCUUAACAAAACAUGAAUUCUUCUUCACUGUUGGUGCUAUGAGCUGCAGUUCCAAGAAUAGGGCUGCAAACCCAUGAUGGUGGAUGGUGAAAUAAGCAGAAAAGAGGCCAAAGGGUCAAGGAUAGAUCACCAAAUAUGGCACUGGAAGAUCUGCACUGGAGUCCUGGUUCUUCUCUCACUAGAAAACUCAUCCUGGAAAAGUGACUCAACUGAUUUGGGCCUCCAUUUCAGAUCUGAAACAUGAGUGGUUGUCCCAGAAGACCUCUAAAGUUUCUGUGAGAAUAUCACUGAGCCCUAAGUAGGUCACUUUUCGUAGAUUUUUCCACAUCUAAGUUGACCCUAGAAAGACUUUUCAAAUCUAUGUAAGUCAGUUGAAAAAAGAAAGACAAAGAAUAUAAGAGAGGAAAUGAUGAGUCUGUAGCUUUCCAUUUCUCAAUUUUUAAAAUCAAAGUUCUGGUAUUGUCUAUCAGAAUUUCCAUUGAUCAUGGAAAGGGCAGUAGACCUCUCCUCUGUCUUUGUUGUUGAUUAAUCAUCUUUCAUUUCUAUUCCACCCGAACUUAUAGGAGGGUUCUAUGUUUUUAUUUUUUUUGGUGCUUUGGUAGAGUGUGCGAACACUGUCAAUGCUGAUUUCUAAGAAGUAUUGGUGUUGAAAUUUAUCCUUGGUGUUUUGAUGUUUUGUCCCCCUGAUAUAAACUGGAAAAAGUCUCUCCCACAACUUGAAAACUGACAUGAAAAGCAAUGCUAACAGUAAAGAUUAUUCUUGUAAUGAAAAUAAAAAUGUUG
ensembl:lncRNA